CUCCAGGUGUUGCUGUUUUGCUUCCACCGCAACUGGGUGGUGAGGGUCCUUCUAUUUUGCAUGGCAGUCAACCCAAUUCGAACUCAUUGCCUCUAGAUCUGAAUCUUUCUCCUCCAACUGAAUUCAAUGAUUUGGUAGAAGGGGGAACCUAUUCAACAAGGUCGUACUAUGAAAAGGAAAUCAUAUCCGAUGCUGCAAUACCUAAGGCCUCCAACAAACGCAAUGAUGACAAUGAAAUGGCCAACUGUGAGACUCUGGAUUUAAAUUUAAAGCUCUAGACUUGCGUCUUGCAAGAAAAAAUAAAUGAAAACUGAGUAGUCAACUCAGGUGAUGCAAAACAUAUAUAAAUGAACGAGUUCUCUUUUUGUUAACUAAUGCGUUUCCCCCCUCUUCUUUAUUUAUUGAUAAGUACAGUCUUUCCUAUUUUUCCCAUCAUAUCAUAAUUACUCAUGCAAUCCAACCAGACAAAACUAAAUGACUAUAUAUUAUAUCGAUCAGUUUCUGUUUCUUUAACCCAGGUUGGAAGGAUAUCAUUACAAGUACAAUAAAUUUCAUUAUCAACGUCAAUAUUCAUCCAAAUUUAUAAUAGUAGUAAAGCUCACUCUAAUGGGGAGAUUAUUACAAGAAUCACUACCCUCACAAAGGAAUUAAUAAAGCGUCAUAAUAAGGAAGAAUAACAAACUCACAAAAUAACACUGAGAAUCAAGAUCUAAAAGUCCUGAGUCUUAAUCAUAAUCAUCAGGCUAAUACCUUGUUAACGAGUUAAGCCAAUCUUGUUGCUGACGUCUAAUUUAUUUUCCUUAAAUAUGAUUUUAUUUAUGAGGGCACGGAAAAAGUGAGACAUACCUCACGUUUCUGCGUGAUCUUUCCAACAAAAUAACACCGUUUUAAAAAAUUACAAAAAAUUCUUUUGUACACAACAUGGAAGGGAAUGUAUUUUUUAUAUGAGUAAUGUUACUAUCACAUAAAAACCGCUCACAUACACUCACAUGCAUAUUGGUAUGGCUCACAUGACUUACUCUGCACGUGGGCCAUACCAAUAUGCACAUGUGGGCCAUACCAAUAUGCAUGUGAGUGUAUGUGAUCAGUAUGUGAGCGAUUUUUAUGUGAUAGUAGACUUAUAAUUUUUAUAUAUAAAUACACAAAAUGACGUCUUUUUUUGUGCGAUAACUCACCCAAUAAUAUGUGGUCUCUCACAUCCCUUUUUGCCUUAUUGUAUACUUGAGUAUUUUAAAUAUAAAUAGGCAAUUUAGGAAAAAUAUUAUUAAAUGAAACCAAUAUAUCACCUUCCUCCCUGAAAAAUUAGGGAUGAACAGUAGUGCCAAUUCUCUCUCUCUCUCUCUCUCUCUCUCUAUAUAUAUAUAUAUAUAUAUAUAUAUAUAUAUAUAUAUAUAUAUAUAUAAUAAUGUAUAUUGAUAUACCAAAUAGAGAAGUUGAAUUGCUCAAACUAAUCUAUUAAGCAUUGUGAUUUUGAUGUCACCUAUUAAAACCCAUUAUCCAAUUCAUGAUAUCCGAAUUGCCUUUCAAGAUAUACUUAAAGUGAACGACAACAGCAACAACAACACACCCAAGAGUUAGCUCGGCCUAUAAGAAAAAAUUAUUCAUGACACUAGUCGAGUAUAUACUUCACAUCGUAAUUACAAAAGUAAAUAAAACUAUUAAUUUUAAAAAAAAUACAUAAUCGCAGCCAAGAACAAACAAACUAUUAUUAGGAUUUAGAAAUACUGAUUUUCAAACCUCAUAGAAAAGCCCUAAAUCAUUGUCUCCGUCAAUACGCCGUAAUCCAUGAAUCUGAGGCUUUUUUUUAUUCUUUGGCGAUCGAGCCGCAAGCCCUGUAUCUGACUUCUCCUGUGUUCCUUUUUCUCAGUUUCUAAUUUUCCAUAUGUAUAUUUUUGAAUAUAUUGUAAAAUUCUAAAAUUAUACCUUACCAUCAAGAGAAAACAACUAAUUUUAGACCUUCUUACAC
rnacentral:lncRNA from 1 species